GUGGGGAAUAUUGGACAAUGGGCGAAAGCCUGAUCCAGCCAUGCCGCGUGUGUGAAGAAGGUCUUCGGAUUGUAAAGCACUUUAAGUUGGGAGGAAGGGCAGUAAGUUAAUACCUUGCUGUUUUGACGUUACCGACAGAAUAAGCACCGGCUAACUUCGUGCCAGCAGCCGCGGUAAUACGAAGGGUGCAAGCGUUAAUCGGAAUUACUGGGCGUAAAGCGCGCGUAGGUGGUUUUGUAAGUUGGAGGUGAAAUCCCCGGGCUCAACCUGGGAACUGCCUCCAAAACUGCAUGACUAGAGUACGGUAGAGGGUAGUGGAAUUUCCGGUGUAGCGGUGAAAUGCGUAGAUAUAGGAAGGAACACCAGUGGCGAAGGCGACUACCUGGACUGAUACUGACACUGAGGUGCGAAAGCGUAGGGAGCAAACAGGAUUAGAUACCCGAGUAGUCC
rnacentral:rRNA from 1 species